UCCCCUUACUGUCAUUAAUAUGUUGUAGGGAAUCCCUUGGGUUAGUCAUCCCUUGGGUUAGUCAUCUCUAGCAAGACAAACAUGCGCAAAAACUGUUUGAUUUACUUUCAAUUCAUAAAACGAACAAAUCGAUUUGUUCAUACCAAAAGCGAACCCAACAGCGAAAUCCAAUACAUGUCGUUGGCCAAGACGGUUGGAUUGGUAUUUAUAGCGGCCUUCCGAAAGGAGUCGGAACCACUGAGGGAUUGAGAUUGAGGGACUGACAGAGUGCCCGGCUGUCAGAUUUUAUUUCGUGGUAUGUCUUUUCGGGGGUUUGGAGGGAAACGCGGCUCUUGGAGGUACCCUCGUUCGAAUCCUCUCGACAUCUUUUGCACAAUAAAGAUAGAUUAGCAUCUAUCGAAAGCUGGGUGCCUGCAAGAACGAGGAAAACGAAGAGCGAGUACAGAAAACGAACUCGAAACGCUGAAGCGGCGCAUGACUGAAAGCCGGGGACUGAAAUGGAAGCUGAGGGCAGCACAUCGUCAUUAUCAUCAGAACCUCCAGAGUUUCAGCUCAAGGGCCAUCAUCGUCGUCAUCGUUUGCCUGCCGCUUCGAAAAGCCCAAGAGGCUUAUGCCGAACAGAGACAACCCAAAUAAGAAGUACGGGGUAUAAAGCUAAAUAGCAGAACCAGAGACUCAGUUUCAGAGAACCAACAGACUUGUUUCGCCAUCAUUGCCAUAGUCAUCUCAGAUCCAGUCCAGGUUCUCACGUUUUCCGCUCGGAAUGUAUAUAUGCGAGUAUAUAUAUCUGCACUCUAGAUGAACGGGUAUUCGUAGAGUCGCUCUUAAGCCGGGGUCUACAGUUUUGGCGAGCCGUUCAUAUUUGGCAUACAAUGGAAACGAUUAUGGCAUCGUAUAUGUAUGUUUGUGGAUUAAGGGGGUCGAAUGGGAAGCCAAUGGAUAGAGGGGAGAUGACGAAAUAGGUAAUUGAAUGGUUGACUUUUGUUCUUCCCGUGGAAACUUCCCCGAUAUUGCGAAUGAUCUCUUGAAGGUGACUAACCGAAAUAGGCAAAGUUUUAAUAUGGUGGUUAGGUUUCUCCAGUUGAAAAACCACAUAAAGACUUAAAAUCUGCAGAUUAAACAAUGAAAAACUUUUUUUUAUAUAUAUAGGAGAUAAAAUUACCUUCAUAAACCUUGGGAAUCAUUGCAUGGCCGUCAGUCACGCCAUACUCGAUACCCACCCUUGUGGGUGAAUAAAGUGCCUGGAACCACUGGGACUCGAUGAUUCUGACACAACAAAAAAAGUUACACCCAGGAGCGCCAUAUAAAUGCUAUAAAUAGAAGAGGCCCCAGGGCUCUAACAUUUAUAAUCUUAAUAAAAUGCUACGCCAUACGAUUUUUCUUAUAAAUACAGAGGAAUUAAAACGUUCACCAAUUUAAUGCAAUACACAAUUAAAUGGCAAAGGGCUCUUAAAUAUAAGUCUAUUAAAAGGAUGCGAUCACAAACAAUUGCGUAACAUCAAAAAGCUCAUGGCCGUGUACAUUUUUACAUGCCCUCCGGCUAUACAUCCUCACCAUCCUGCGAUUGGCCUAUGUACUCUACCGUACUAUAUAUGUAUAUAUACCGAACCCCAGCAACAACUCUCGAGGGAAAAAGAAGAAGAAGCGGCGGGCAGACAGAGGACGAGAAUGAGGAUGAAGUUGAAGUUGAGGUAGAGGUAUAUAUAGUCUGUCCUUUGCUCGUCGUAUAUCCCUCAGCGGCAAUUCCGCUUUCAGGGUUUUAUGUCAGAGCUCUUAACGCGCUGGGGUUUCAAUUUUGUUUUGGGGCGCAGCCGUGUGGCAGUAACCUGAGCCAAAGUUGUUGUGUUUGCAUUGAUGUUGCUUCUUCCACGUUUAUCGGGGAAGACCCCGCUCAACCCCUCAACCCCUAAGCCCCGCACACCUAACCCUACACACUCGUAGGUUUUCCGCUUCUGCGAGUGCUAUAGUCAAGCCGUCAGACGAGUCGGACGACGUCGGUCGGAAAUCCUUGAAACGAAAGUCCUGAAGCUCCUGCUCCCGUCGCUUCAGCUUCAUUUUCUGCUGCCCAGGAGGGUUGCCAUCGUAUGGCGAAACUUUGCAGCAAUCGUUGACGGCAAUGUGGCGUUUGCAACGUUUCAUAGACCCAAUUGUGUUACCGUAGCGCCCUCAAUCGACACUGCAAAAUUUAUAACUAAAUAUCACUUAAUAAAUGCCCGA